rfam:Trichobilharzia regenti genome assembly, scaffold: TRE_scaffold0016019
GUACUGAUGAAGAGUCCCAAACUAGACUGACGAAACAGCUGUCCAGUAC